rnacentral:rRNA from 1 species
GACGAACGCUGGCGGCGUGCUUAACACAUGCAAGUCGAACAGUGGCGAACGGGUGCGUAACACGUGAGUAACCUGCCCUCCACUUUGGGAUAACUCCGAGAAAUCGGGGCUAAUACUGGAUAGGGGGGGAUGGGCUCGCGGCCAAUCAGUUUGUUGGUGAGGUAGUGUUCACCAGGGCGUGGCGGGUUGCCGGCCUGGGAGGGGGACCGGCCGCAAUGGGACUGAGAGACGGCGCAGACGGCUACGGGAGGCAGCAGUGGGGAUUAUUGCACAGUGGUGGAGAGGCUGAUGAAGAGGCGCCGCGGGGGGAAUGACGGCCUUCGGGUUGGAAACCUCUUUCAGCAAGGAAGCGGUACUUGCAGAAGAAGCGCCGGCUAACUACGUGCCAGCCGCCGCGGUAAUUC